CAAGGCGAUGAUGGGUAGCCGGCCUGAGAGGGUGUACGGCCACACUGGGACUGAGAUACGGCCCAGACUCCUACGGGAGGCAGCAGCUAAGAAUAUUCCGCAAUGGACGAAAGUCUGACGGAGCGACGCCGCGUGGAUGAAGAAGGCCGAAAGGUUGUAAAGUUCUUUUGUUGGGGAAGAAUAACCAUGGGAGGGAAUGCCCGUGGGAUGACAUGAACCGACGAAUAAGCCCCGGCUAACUACGUGCCAGCAGCCGCGGUAACACGUAGGGGGCGAGCGUUGUUCGGAAUUACUGGGCGUAAAGGGCAUGUAGGCGGUCUUGUAAGCUUGGCGUGAAAGACCACGGCUCAACCGUGGGAUUGCGUUGAGAACUGCGAGGCUUGAGUGACGGAGAGGGAGCUAGAAUUCCUGGUGUAGGGGUGGAAUCUGUAGAGAUCAGGAAGAAUACCAAUGGCGAAGGCAAGCUCCUGGCCGAUGACUGACGCUGAGGUGCGAAAGUGUGGGGAUCAAACAGGAUUAGAUACCCUGGUAGCCCACACUGUAAACGAUGUGCACUAGGUGCUGGUACGGAUGUAUCAGUGCCGUAGCUAACGUGAUAAG
rnacentral:rRNA from 1 species